rnacentral:rRNA from 1 species
AACGAACGCUGGCGGCAUGCCUAACACAUGCAAGUCGAACGAGACCUUCGGGUCUAGUGGCGCACGGGUGCGUAACGCGUGGGAACCUGCCCUUAGGUUCGGAAUAACUCCCCGACAGGGGUGCUAAUACCGGAUAAUGUCUUCGGGCCAAAGAUUUAUCGCCUUUGGAUGGGCCCGCGUUGGAUUAGCUAGUUGGUAGGGUAAAAGCAUACCAAGGCGACGAUCCAUAGAUGGUCUGAGAGGAUGAUCAGCCACACUGGGACUGAGACACGGCCCAGACUCCUACGGGAGGGAGCAGUGGGGAAUAUUGGACAAUGGGGGAAGGCCUGAUCCAGCAAUGCCGCGUGAGUGAUGAAGGCCUUAGGGUUGUAAAGCGCUUUUACCCGGGAUGAUAAUGACAGUACCGGGAGAAUAAGCUCCGGCUAACUCCGUG